GGUUGACCAGGUGGAGAGAGAAGCAGAACAGAAGGGCCCAUUAUGUGCCAUAAUUCUCCGCAGAAGACUUCGGCCGGUCUUGCCUGUUCUCACUCAGCCUUUCCAGAUGCCAGCAUCUCCCAUCCUCUGCGGGCAGAAGGAAGCCUUAAGGACAGAGGAGCAAAUCGCCUCAGCCCAGGGGGAAGGGCCACCUAUCCAGAUGGGCAGAGCCACUGAUUUGCUUCUGUACCAGUAGAGGUAAGACAAAGGGCAGCUUUAACUUGAAUAGAGGGAGAAGUGCAAUCCUUUAAAUGAUCAGCAAGAACAGCUCUGCCUUUCAGUGAAAAUAUCUUGAGCGGCUUAAGGCUCAAUUUUUUUUUUUUUUUUUUUUUUUUUUUUUUGCUUUUUAGGGCCACACCUACAGCAUAUGGAAGUUCCCAGGCUAGGGUUGAAUCGGAACUACACCUGUAACCUACACCACAGCCACAGCAACCCUGAAUAAUUAACCCACUGAGCGAAGCCAGGGAUUGAACCCGAGUCCUCAUGGAUACUAGUCGGGUUCAUUACCACUGAGCCAUGAUGGGAACUCCAAGGGCUCAACAUCUAAAUCUCGGAUGUCUAAUCAUUUCUGAUGCACCCACCAACCUACCCCAUCAGCCAAGAGGAAGCCCCUCUGAGUGAGGAGACCAAGCCUAGUGCAGCGGUUCUUAGAGUUUGGAGAAUGUACGAAUCACCUGGAAGACUUUAAAAUCCAGAUUUCUGGGGCCCAUUCCAGACCUACUGAUCUAAAGUCUCUGUGAAAUGUGCAUUUUUAACAAGUGAUUUGCAGCAACCGGUUUACAGACAACACUGGAGAAGCACUGGCUUGUGGCAGGGGGUGUCCUGGGUCCAGAGCAACCAUCGAGGCUUAAAGUAAAUCAGUCUUCUCCCUCCCUUCCUUCCUUCCAAACUUCCUCCCUUCCUCCCUUCUUUCCUUCUUUCUUUCUUUCUUUUUCUCUUUCUUCCUUUCUUUCUUUCUUUCUUUCUUUCUUUCUUUCUUUCUUUCUUUCUUUCUUUCUUUCUCUUCUUUCUCUUCUUUUCUUUCUUUCUCUCUCUCUCUCUCCCUCUCUUUCUCCCUCCCUCUCUCCCUUCCUUCCUUCCCUCCUUCCUUCCUUUCUUUCUAGGACCGCACUUACAGCAUAUGGAAGUUCCCAGGCUAGGGGUAGAAUUGGAGUGGCAGCUGCCAGCCUACACUACAGCCACAGCUACACCAAAUCUGAGCCACACCUUCGACCUUACAGGGCAGCUCUCAGCAAUGCCGGAUUGUUAACCCACUGUGCGGAGGACGGGGAUCGAACUUGCCACCAGGCUAUGCAGAGACACCAACGAUUCUGUGGCACCACAGCACAAACCAGGACUAGGGUUUCUAAACCAAUUCUUCCCAGGAGAAAUAUCACAAGAGCAAAGGGAUCUCCAGAAGUUAUCUUUGAGCACAAAAGGGGACAAGGGCGUAAGGAGGAGCGCAGGGCUCUCAAGGACAGUGAUGCUGGGUCCUCCCCUCCGGGUUCAACGUCAAGGCCACUGGCACAAUGUGGGUUUCAUUAA
rnacentral:lncRNA from 1 species